ensembl:lincRNA Rmst rhabdomyosarcoma 2 associated transcript (non-coding RNA)
UGACCCUGGAGGACAAGAGCAUUCUUCUGACAAGUUUUAGCAUGGACUAUCCUCAGGAAAAUGAGAUCCAGGAAGAGUGACGCCCUCCUCGAACUGAAAGAUACUCAGGCUGAUGGAGUCAGGGACGAAGUGGCUUAUCAACAACACAGGAUGUCUGCAGGGAACAGAACUUAUUCAGACAUGGCCCAGAUUGUCUGCCCGUGGGGACUGAGGGACCUCUGAGGGUUACAUCAGGAAGGAAGGAGAGGCUGUUUCUACAGGUGCCACAGAAAAAUCGAUGCUGAGCCUCGGAUUAUUGGAUCCCAUAGAACCGUGGAGACUUGGCAGUGAAAUUCUUCCAAAGCAUUCCAUCUGCGCAGGCAGGCAGAGGUGUUCCUGGUUUGGGAAGUAUAAAUCCCGUGGGAAGUCAACUGGAGGACAUUUUACGCGUCACUCAUCCUAUUAUGAGCCUGCUGCUCCUCCGUCUCUUGACAAGUUGGCAGCUAAAGGACAGGAGCAGCAAUAAGGCUUCCUGGCUACAUUUUCAUGGUGCCACCAACUGCGAGUUAAGCUGACAAACAUUUUGAGAGCUCGGCCCAUUUCAUUCCCAGCAGGAUGGCAGGAGUUAACUAAAACAGAAUAAACUAAAAAUUGUGCCUUCAUUGCACAUUUGCACUGAUUAUCAGCACUGAAAAUGGCUAAGUUCUGCUUAUCAAGGAAAUAAUAUGCUCCAGAGAAUCCUCUAAUUCACCGAAAAUGGACUUGGAUAACAUUUGGGUUCUCAUACUACCACAGUCCUCUUGA